GAUGAACGCUGGCGGCGUGCCUAAUACAUGCAAGUCGAGCGAAUGGAUUAAGAGCUUGCUCUUAUGAAGUUAGCGGCGGACGGGUGAGUAACACGUGGGUAACCUGCCCAUAAGACUGGGAUAACUCCGGGAAACCGGGGCUAAUACCGGAUAACAUUUUGAACCGCAUGGUUCGAAAUUGAAAGGCGGCUUCGGCUGUCACUUAUGGAUGGACCCGCGUCGCAUUAGCUAGUUGGUGAGGUAACGGCUCACCAAGGCAACGAUGCGUAGCCGACCUGAGGGGGUGAUCGGCGACACGGGGACUGAGACACGGCCCAGACUCCUACGGGAGGCAGCAGUAGUGAAUCUUCCGCAAUGGACGAAAGUCUGACGGAGCAACGCCGCGUGAGUGAUGAAGGCUUUCGGGUCGUAAAACUCUGUUGUUAGGGAAGAACAAGUGCUAGUUGAAUAAGCUGGCACCUUGACGGUACCUAACCAGAAAGCUACGGCUAACUACGUGCCAGCCGCCGCGGUAA
rnacentral:rRNA from 1 species